AGGAGCGCUUAUGACAGCUGUGUA
rnacentral:siRNA from 1 species